rnacentral:lncRNA from 1 species
GUAAAUUGCAUUAAGAUCACUAAUAUUAGGACAAAUACAAUUUAUAGGGCGUCAGGUAGCCUAGUGGUUAGAGUGUAGAGGUGGCAGGUAGCCUUGUGGUUGGGGCAGCAGGUAGCCUAGUGGUUAGAGUGUAGAGGUGGCAGGUAGCCUAGUGGUUGGGGCAGCAGGUAGCCUAGUGGUUGGGGCAGCAGGUAGUCUAGUGGUUAGAGUGUAGAGGUGGCAGGUAGCCUAGUGGUUGGGGCAGCAGGUAGCCUAGUGGUUAGAGUGUAGAGGUGGCAGGUAGCCUAGUGGUUGGGGCAGCAGGUAGCCUAGUGGUUAGAGUGUAGAGGUGGCAGGUAGCCUAGUGGUUGGGGCGGCAGGUAGCCUAGUGGUUAGAGUGCAGAGGCGGCAGGUAGCCUAGUGGUUAGAGUGUAGAGGUGGCAGGUAGCCUAGUGGUUGGGGCGGCAGGUAGCCUAGUGGUUAGAGUGUAGAGGUGGCAGGUAGCCUAGUGGUUGGGGCGGCAGGUAGCCUAGUGGUUAGAGUGUAGAGGUG